UAAGCUCCUUUUAGUUUAGAAGCUGGAGGUUUGGGGGUUUUGCUGUCUCCCUGUGUCUUCCCUGGUGGAUGGAAAUAUUCUCUGCUGCAGCCAGAGCCUGUGCUAUGUCAGCUGUGAUGCCAUGGGAUGUGCGGAUUUGCUUCUUAAUUGUGCUCUGUGCAUGUUGUUUGUGUAUGGAUGUGCUCGAGGGGAGGAAGCCAGGUCACAAGUCACUUCUGCUGUCCCCGAGCAGUCUCCGAGGUAAUAAGCUCUUUAGCCGUCCUUACAGCAAUGAGUGAUUUAAGGAGCUCAGUCUGCUUAGCUUAUUAAAGAGCUGGCGGCUGAUGAAGACAUCGCAGUGGCCAGCAAUGGAAACUCGGCAAACUUCUAGUGGGGAAAAAUGCAGUGAACGUGUGUGAGAGUAGCUGGCACUCGGGGUCAGAGCACACCCAGGUUUUCAGUGCCCGAGCAGAAAGUUUCUGUGAUCCUCCCAAGCCCUCAGAUCCACAAAUGUGGCCAGCAGUGAUGAGCAGGGCUGUCCUGAGGGAUGGAUGGACGGAUGGACAGACCCCAGGAGAAGCAGGCAGCAGGAACCAAAGCCAGAGGAAGAAAAUCUCUUCAGAGAGAGGCCCUUCAGGAAAAAGUAGAGGAGAAGGUGUGCUCCCUACGGACAUUCACAGUGCCUUCUGACCCCGGUAGGGCAGUUUGGAGCAGCUCCAGUGCUGUCAUGCUUUCGUGGGUGCACUGCAUGGAUAUGGGACUCAUUCCCCCAGCCUCCUGUGUGGGGUUGUUUCCAUUGCUGGUUUUCCUGCUGAUUACAGAUUUAUCAGUGGCUACGGGGGCUCUCUCCGUGAGCAAAUACGCAUCAGGCUGGGUGCAGCUGUGGCAUUUCACUCCAGCAGACAGCAGCUUUCUGUCCAGAUUGCUUUGGUGAUAAAGCAGAAGGAAAAUGUCACCUCCCCGCGCCUGCUUCUGAAGGUCUGCUGGGAGCAACGAUGCAUCCUGCCCCACCUGAGCUCUCCGGUGGUGCUGUGCCAGUGCUGGGGAGAGAGACAAAACCAGGGAAUUGGUCACCAUGGUCAGCAGCAGGAGGGGCAGGCACCCAGGCUGGAGGCCAGGCACCAAACCCUGAUGGCUGUGUGAGGUGGGGGCCGUGGCACCCCUGGGCAGGCAGCGCGGCGCGUCAGAUCUCAGCACGCCGUGGAGAUGCUGGAGGUAUUGACCCCCCCCUUAACCACGCUCUGAAUUUCAGCCUUGCCAAACAGACUCAGCAGCGUUUGAAAGGUGUAGGAAAUGCCCACGGGUGAUGUCAGAAGCUGUGAAAUACAGAGCAAUUAGAGCAACGCCCGGGCAGUGAGACUUUGGGCUGCUGCUGCGCGUUUCUCUCCAAGGCGCCCGGUCUGCACGGCCUUACAGGAGCUGCUCCCACAUCCUCCCAGCAGCCUGGGUCCCUCUCGCUGACACGGCCAUAAAUCACUCCUGACAAAUUUAACAGCGACUCAAGGGCAGCAAGGAAGCAGAGAAUGGCAGAGAAUGGAUGUCGCUCCUGCCAAAAAGCGCUGUGCGGCCCCGUGCCACCGGGUAGGGUGGGCGGCAGAGGACGGCAGCAGUGACAGCUCCGUGUGGUUAUCGCCUUGCUGCCACGAGCAGAGGCUCUGACCUUGUCUCAGGGAUGCGUCUCACCUUGCUGUGUGUCUCAGCCCUUCUGCUCUCCAGCCAAAAACCUCUCCGUGCCUUCUGAGGCUGGGGCGCAGUGGUGGGGUCCAUGGGCAAAGCCUGGCGGCUGCACCAAACCAGCUGGAGAGGGUGGGAGACCCGGGGGCUAUUUGCACUGAUAGCAGGAGAUGUGACAGGAGUGAGCACCAACCUGCCAUCUCCAUCAUCUCGUGGCCAAGGUAACGGUGGGAGGUGGGUUUGCCUUGCCGCAUCCCUCUUCAGAUGAAAACUAGCUCGCCUCAAGCUGCUCUCAUUCACAGAUCCCCCCAGUUCGGUUUCUAAUAUAAAGAUCCAAUUUGCUCAACACAGCUGUGGUUUUUGGGCUCUCUCCAGCUUCCGUGUCUGAUACAGAAAGCGUGCCUCCUGUGCAGAAAGGAGGCACAAGAAAUCCACAUGCAGGAUUUGGCCCUGUCCCCCCUGCAACGCAUUGUCCCUGCGCUCCGGGGUGCAGGAGGGGCACCCAUGGGCAUCCCUCCUGCACCCACAGAGACUUCUUCCCAUGGCAAAUCCAGCCCUGAGAGGGGAAGCCUGAGCUGAGCCUACAUGGUUACCUCGGCCCUGUAUCACUGUUUGUCCACCCACUGAGCCUUUGGGAAGGGGACGUGCUGCUGGGGAAUGGCACAGGAUUGGUGCAGCUCCCCUGUGGCUUCCCCAAAAUGCUGCCCUACUCCUUCAAUCGCUCAGCGAGAUGCCUGGUGGGGUUUAUAAAGUGUCUGAGUGCAGUUUGUGCUCUUGGCUAGCAGGAAAUUAAAUGCCUUUUGGUUGUCUCUUAGGGUAGCAGAAAAAGAGUUCAGGAGACUUAUUAAACUUCAUUUCCAUUUUCAUUCCUGGCACACUGAACAGCUCCGUCUAGCUGGAUUUAGAGUAUCUGUUUGCUUAUCUGCUGGACAAA